UGUAUUCACUACUGUAAGUCGCUCUGGAUAAGAGCGUCUGCUAAAUGACUAGAA
rfam:Salmo salar isolate Sally breed double haploid chromosome ssa22, whole genome shotgun sequence.